rnacentral:lncRNA from 1 species
GUGAGUCGAGGCUGGAGCAAGUGGAGUGGAUUUGGGGGAACAGGGAAGGAGAGAUCCGGGGUUUUCUCAUCCUCACCUCCUGCCUUGUCCUCUCAGCUCUGCAAAUCCCGAGGGACUUUUUUUUUUUUUUUCCCUUAUGGACAGGUUUUCGGGUUUUUGACUUUGUGGAUUGGAUCCUCCCCCAGCAGAGCCAGGGGGCUAGUUCCUGCCCAGCGCAUCUCCCUGGGACGGCUCGGGGCGGCCGGAGCGCAGCGCGCAGCAAAGCCCGGGUACCACUCUGGCCGGGAACUGGGGCAGGGAUACAGUCAGCAAAAGUCAGUCGCUGGAGGAGCACCCCGGGUGGGGAAACCUAGGUCUGCCUUGCCUUUGCAUUUGGAUGGAGUGGAGGAGACACGGGACAUCUCCCAAGGGGCGGGGAUGUUCCGGCGGAGAGAGAUUAAGGCGAUGGACCAUAGUAACUGGCGGCCCGCGACACCCAUGUGUCACUGAUCGGGAGGCUCUCCCCGCGGCAGCGCUUCAUGACCCAGCGGCG